AGGGACAGGAACAAGCGAGGAAAAGAUUGAGAAAAAUGAAGGAUGAAGACGCGUGGUAGUCAACAUCAUCGACAUCAAGCGACCACCCCCACCUCAACAUCUCGACAAGUAUCCACCCUGCCCGACGCACGAGUGCCACCGCAGUGAUCAUGAAGAUAACUUGUCAUGCAUGGAUCCACACUAGGAGAUGAAGACAAGUUGUCCUAGUUGUGUUUGUGUGGUAGCAUCGUAUCUUUAUUUAUUUCGGUCUUUCCCACUACUAGUAGUACUACUUAAUCUGAUCUCUCUUGUGUUUCUGCAAUUAGUGUUUGUGUCAUGUUAUUAUCUCGUCUACUAGCUUGCUGCAUGACACAUCUUGUAAGCAAACAUUAGUUGUGAAGGUUAUGUGUACCGUGAAGCAUCAAUCCUACUUACCAAUUGGCAUGCCCACGAGCUUGACCGCUUGUAACUGCGAGGCUUGCCCAUGUCUCUGGCUAUUAUCACUUCGUGUCUAAAAUAAAUAAAGACCAGGAUGAAUCAUGACGUA